UACGUAGGGGGCGAGCGUUGAUCGGAAUUACUGGGCGUAAAGGGCGCGUAGGCGGCGCAACAAGUCAGUUGUGAAAUCUUCAGGCUUAACCUGAAGCGGCCAAGUGAUACUGUCGUGCUAGAGUGCGGAAGGGGCAACUGGAAUUCUUGGUGUAGCGGUGAAAUGCGUAGAUAUCAAGAGGAACACCUGCGGCGAAGGCGGGUGGCUGGGCCGACACUGACGCUGAGGCGCGAAAGCUAGGGGAGCGAACGGG
rnacentral:rRNA from 1 species